UACAGAGGUCUCAAGCGUUGUUCGGAUUCAUUGGGCGUAAAGGGUGCGUAGGUGGCGCGCUAAGUCAGGUGUGAAAUUUCGGAGCUUAACUCCGAAACUGCAUUUGAUACUGGCGUGCUUGAGGACUGGAGAGGAGACUGGAAUUCAUGGUGUAGCAGUGAAAUGCGUAGAGAUCAUGAGGAAGACCAGUGGCGAAGGCGGGUCUCUGGACAGUUCCUGACACUGAG
rnacentral:rRNA from 1 species